CCACUUGCACGGAUCGAUUGCGGUUCCUAUAUUCCGCUUGUCCGGCGCAAGUCGGACUAUGGGCAUAAACGCGCUCGUAAUAAGCGGAUCGGACCCGGGGGCGGUACCCGGCGGCUCCACCAGAUACCCUCGUUGGGGACCAUGGGGCCGAAACAGGAUCGACGAACGUGUAAAGGAGUGGCUUUGCCCCGGUGAGGUACCACCGUUAUCGGUCCAAGACGCACAAUUGCCAACGACAAUCGUGCUCCGGUCGCUCUGGCUGCGUAAGCAGCUCGACAGACCGAAACAUAAGUCCCUGCGCCUAGCCGCGUAGGGCGGGGUUCGCAGGCACCUGGCAACAGAAGCCUGCACC
rnacentral:tmRNA from 1 species